GAUGAACGCUAGCGGCAGGCUUAAUACAUGCAAGUCGAGGGGCAGCAUGGUGUAGCAAUACACUGAUGGCGACCGGCAAACGGGUGCGGAACACGUACAGAACCUUCCUUCGAGCGGGGAAUAGCCCAGAGAAAUUUGGAUUAAUACCCCAUAGUACAUUAGAGUGGCAUCACUUUGAUGUUAAAGAUUUAUCACUUGAAGGUGGCUGUGCGGCUGAUUAGGUAGUUGGCGGGGUAACGGCCCACCAAGCCUGCGAUCAGUAACUGGUGUGAGAGCACGACCAGUCACACGGGCACUGAGACACGGGCCCGACUCCUACGGGAGGCAGCAGUGGGGAAUCUUGGACAAUGGGGGAAACCCUGAUCCAGCGAUGCCGCGUGUGUGAAGAAGGCCUUCGGGUUGUAAAGCACUUUAAGUGGGGAAGAAAGGUAUCAAGUGAAUAACUUGGUGCUAUGACGGUACCCGCAGAAUAAGCACCGGCUAACUCUGUGCCAGCCGCCGCCGUAAAAC
rnacentral:rRNA from 1 species